rnacentral:rRNA from 1 species
UACGUAGGUGGCAAGCGUUGUUCGGAAUUAUUGGGCGUAAAGGGCGCGUAGGCGGUUCGUUAAGUCGGUUGUGAAAACCCGGGGCUCAACCCCGGGCUUGCGGUCGAUACGGGCAGGCUCGAGUUCGGUAGGGGAGACUGGAAUUCCUGGUGUAGCGGUGAAAUGCGCAGAUAUUAGGAGGAACACCGGUGGCGAAGGCGGGUCUCUGGGCCGAUACUGACGCUGAGGAGCGAAAGCGUGGGGAGCGAACAGG